UGGCUCUUACAUCUCUCUCUUCUUCUACAGUGAUCCCUGAGCCUGGGGAGCAGGAGUUAUGCUGUAGAUGUAUCAGUUGGAAUUGGCCUCCAGAACUCUGCAUUUUGAUUGGCUGUGAUUUUCUGUAAUGGUCUCUGUUUCUUGCAAGGAAAACUUUGCUUGCUGAGGGGAAGAAAAACACAGUUGCUGUGGUUUGAAUGUGAAACGCUCCCUAUCGUUCGUCGGAACACAUCUGGUACCAUUUGGACCUAAUUUCAAUUGCCAGCACCCACACUGGGCA